rnacentral:rRNA from 1 species
GAUGAACGCUGGCGGCGUGCUUAACACAUGCAAGUCGAACGGGAUCCAAGGGGUGCUUGCACUUUUUGGUGAGAGUGGCGAACGGGUGAGUAACACGUGAGUAACCUGUCCUUUUCUUUGGGAUAAGCAUUCGAAAGGGUGUUUAAUACCUUAUGUUCUGUCUGCCUCGCAUGGGGUGGGUGGGAAAGGCUUUGGCCGGAUUUGGGUGGGCUCGCGGUCUAUCAGCUUGUUGGUGGGGUGAUGGCUUACCAAGGCUUUGACGGGUAGCCGGCCUGAGAGGGUGGUCGGUCACAUUGGGACUGAGAUACGGCCCAGACUCCUGCGGGAGGCAGCGGUGGGGGAUAUUGCACAAUGGGCGAAAGCCUGAUGCAGCGACGCCGCGUGGGGGAUGAAGGCCUUCGGGUUGUAAACUUCUUUUGCUCUGAACAAGGCAUGCCAGUGGGUGUGUUGAGUGUAGGGGUUGAUUAGCGCCGGCUAACUACGUG